UUUUUGCAACACCUGUGGAAAGAAUCCGAAUGAUAACAACUUCCGUUCUUAAAAAAAAUGUAGAAAUUCAUGUUCAUUGCCAACUUUAUCGGGAUAUGGCUACAACUAGACUUCCAAACGGAUCUGUAGGGUCUCCUCCUAGAUUAGGGAGUCAUGCAUUGAGCUGGACUGAUGACUUGCCUGUUUGUCAGCUUUCUGGGGUUGGAUUCUCAACAAAUCAACUCUACAGAGAAGACGGGUUUAGACAAGAAGAACAUGAAUUUGAAGACAGGAGUUUUCAUUUUAGAUUACUAGAUACAGAAAGCUUUUUAUAUGGAGUUUUUGAUGGACAUGAUGGAAGUCGAGUGGCUAACUUUGCUGCACAGAGAAUGCCAGCUGAACUUCUUCUUGGACAACUGAAUAACAACAAUACUGAUGAAGAAAUUAAAGAAAUACUGUAUCAGGCCUUUAUUGCUGUUGAAAAGAGUUUCUUUGAAUCCAUUGACCAUAUUUUUGCUGAAAAGACCACAAUACAGUUACAACUACCAGAGGGUAUCAGUCACUAUGAAGCAUGUAAACAGUAUCCAGACACCAUGAAACAGCUUGACAACUUAGAAAAAGAAAUAUCAGGGGGGACAACUGCUACGGUCUCACUUAUAUACAAAAAUAAGUUAUUUGUGGCCAAUGUAGGUGAUACAAGGGCCUUGCUAUGCAUCACUGACCAAGAGGGCAUGCUUCGUGUCAUGCAGUUAUCAGUGGACCACUCAUUAGUCAAUGAGGAGGAAUGUAACAGGAUGGCAUUGUUAGGUCUAGACAUGGAGAAACUAAAACAACAUAGACUGAUAGGAAGUUCUGACAGUACAAGAUGUCUAGGAGAUUAUCAUGUGAAAGGAGGAUAUAAAGAUAUUGAUCUAUUGCUGGAUGCAAGCAGGGAACCAGUGAUUGCUGAUCCAUAUGUUCAUGGAGGUAUACCUUUGGACAAGUCCUCCAGUUUCCUGAUUAUCAUGUCAGAUGGAUUAUAUCAAGCCUUACAAGAUGCCAUCCAGUGUGAUCGUGUCAAUGUUGAAGUGGCUCGCAUGGUGGCAGCAGAGUUUUCAAUUCAAGGCACACUGCACGGUGUGGCACAGGCUGUCGUUGACAAGGUUGUGAGAAUGCAUCAUGAUGCAUAUAUGACUGGCACCCCAGAAAUAAAGAGUUUGUGUAAGAAACGAGGGGACAUAACUCUGCUGGUUCGAAAUUUUAAUUAUCCAUUGGCAAAUGCAAUUAAUUCACCAAACCGAACUGGACCUUAUAAUCCAUUGUCUCCACCCACUCCAGCAAGAAUUCCCAGUCAUUUACCGCUGACUCCAUCUAUUAGUAUAGAACUGUCAGAUCACAGCAGUUCCCAAUCCCCAGCAGGAACUCCUACUCCUACGAAACAGAGGUCGCCACCUAGGGACAUCAUGCUAACCACAACUAGUACACUAGAAUCCACCUUACCUGACUCUACUUUAAAUACCAGUAAUGGAGGUACCAGUACAGAAUCAUCAACACAAAGUAGUGGAGAUACAAGGUUUCCUAGUCGAUUUUACCAAUGUGCAAAACUAGAACUUGAUGAAGACGGUAAAAUUGAACCAUAUGUUGAUUUUUCAGACUUUUAUAAAGCAAUAGCAGAAUUAACAGAAGCGCAGAGAGAGACAUUGAAUGCCGAGACCAAUCCAAAAUCUGGAUAUGAGACAAUAACAGAGGAAUCUGAAACUUCACUAACGUCUGGACCAGAAAACUAAUUUUUUAGCUCAAGUGGCCCGAAGGGCCAAGUGAGCUUUUCUCAUCACUUGGCGUCCGUCGUCCAUCGUCGUCCGUCGUCGUCCGUCGUUGUUAACUUUUACAAAAAUCUUCUCCUCUGAAACUACUGGGCCAAAUCAAACCAAACUUGGCCACAAUCAUCAUUGGAGUAUCUAGUUUAAAAAAUGUGUGGCGUGACCCGGUCAACCAACCAAGAUGGCCGCCACGGCUAAAAAUAGAACAUAGGGGUAAAAUGCAGUUGUUGGCUUAUAACUCAAAAACCAAAGCAUUUAGAGGAAAUCUGACAUGGGGUAAAAAUGUUUAUCAGGUCAAGAUCUAUCUGCCCUGAAAUUUUCAGAUGAAUCGGUCAAUCGGUUGUUGGGUUGCUGCCCCUGAAUUGGUAAUUUUGAAGAAAUUUUGCUGUUUUUGGUUAUUAUCUUGAAUAUUAUUAUAGUUAGAGAUAAACUGUAAACAGCAAUAAUGUUCAGCAAAGUAAGAUCUACAAAUAAGUCAACAUGACCAAAAUGGUCAGUUGACCCGUUUAGGAGUUAUUGCCCUUUAUAGUCAAUUUUUAACCAUUUUUCGUUAAUUAAAGUAAUCUUUUACAAAAAUCUUCUCCUCUGAAACUACUUGGCCAAAUUAAUCCAAACUUGGCCACAAUCAUCUUUGGGUUAUCUAGUUUAAAAAAUGUGUGGCGUGACCUGGUCAACCAACCAAGAUGGCCGCCACGGCUGAAAAUAGAACAAAGGGGUAAAAUGCAGUCUUUGGCUUAUAACUCAAAAACCAAAGCAUUUUGAGGAAAUCUGACAUGGGAUAAAAAUGUUUAUCAGGUCAAGAUCUAUCUGCCCUAAAAUUUUCAGAUGAAUCGGUCAAUCGGUUGUUGGGUUGCUGCCCCUGAAUUGGUAAUUUUGAGGAAAUUUUGCUGUUUUUGGUUAUUAUCUUGAAUAUUAUUAUAGAUAGAGAUAAACUGUAAACAGCAAUAAUGUUCAGCAAAGUAAGAUCUACAAAUAAGUCAACAUGACCAAAAUGGUCAGUUGACCCGUUUAGGAGUUAUUGCCCUUUAUAGUCAAUUUUUAACCAUUUUUCGUAAAUUAGAGUAAUCUUUUACAAAAAUCUUCUCCUCUGAAACUACUUGGCCACAAUCAUCUUUGGGGUAUCUAGUUUAAAAAAUGUGUGGCGUGACCUGGUCAACCAACCAAGAUGGCCGCCACCGCUAAAAAUAGAACAUAGGGGUAAAAUGCAGUUUUUGGCUUAUAACUCAAAAACCAAAGCAUUUAGAGGAAAUCUGACAUGGGGUAAAAAUGUUUAUCAGGUCAAGAUCUAUCUGCCCUGAAAUUUUCAGAUGAAUCGGUCAAUCGGUUGUUGGGUUGCUGCCCCUGAAUUGGUAAUUUUGAGGAAAUUUUGCUGUUUUUGGUUAUUAUCUUGAAUAUUAUUAUAGAUAGAGAUAAAUUGUAAACAGCAAUAAUGUUCAGCAAAGUAAGAUCUACAAAUAAGUCUACAAGACCAAAAUGGUCAGUUGACCCCUUUAGGAGUUAUUGCCCUUUAUAGUCAAUCUUUAACCAUUUUUCAUAAAUCUAAGUAGUCUUUUACAAAAUCUCCACUGAAACUACUAGGCCACAAUCAUCUUUGGGGUAUCUAGUUUGAAAAAUGUGUCCGAUGACCUGGCCAUUCAACCAAGAUGGCCGCCACGGCUAAAAAUAGAACAUAGGGGUAAAAUGCAGUUUUUUGCUUAUAACUAUGAAACCAAAGCAUCUAGAGCAAAUCUGACAAGAAGUUAAAUUGUUAAUCAAGUCAAUAUCUAUCUGCCCUGAAUUUUUCAGAUGAAUUGGACAACUGGUUGUUGGGUUGCUGCCCUCCAAUUGGUAAUUUUUAAAGAAAUUUUGCCGUUUUUGGUUAUCUUGAAUACUAUUAUAGAUAGCGAUAAACUGUAAACAGCAAUAAUGUUCAGCAAAGUAAGAUCUACAAAUAAGUCAACAUGACCUAAAUGGUCAAUUGACCCCUUAAGGAGUUAUUGCCCUUUAUAGUCAAUUUUUAACAAUUUUCAUUAAUUUGGUAAGUUUAUGUAAAUUUUUACCAAAUAUAGUUCUCUGUUACUAAUGGGCAAAGUUCAUGAAGGAUAUAAUUGUAAGAAGCAAAAUCGUUCAGUAAAGUAAGAACUUCAAACACAUCACCAUCACCAAAAUACAAUUUUGUCAUGAAUCCAUUUGUGUCCUUUGUUUAAUAUGCACAUAGACCAAGGUGAGCGACACAGGCUCUUUAGAGCCUCUAGUUUAAUAGUUUUAUAAGUUUAUUAUAAAAUGUACAGCCCUCUUCCGUAAUUCAGAUUGAUUUGAACCAAUUUCUAAAAUCUGAUGAAUAUUAUACACAUGUUAGAAUGCUUAUAGACAAAAUAAGAUUCAGUUUUUGGUCAAGUUUAGGUUAGUUUGAUGUGAUUUUAAAGUCAAGUUAUGAUCUGAUUAAUAGGUUCACAGAUGCUGUGAUCUUGAUUUUAUUAUUAAGGGGUCAUCCAUAAUUGUCAACAAUUUUCCAAAGUGUACAAAACAUACACUUUUUCAGACCCUCCACUCUCCCUCAAAAAGUGAACAUCAACCAUUUUCAGAUUUCUAGACGAGAAUCAAUCAUUCUAAUAAAAAAAAGAUCAACUCUAUUAUAGAAAUUUGCAUUGAAAAUAAAGUUAAACAUAUCUGACUGUUUUAUUUGAUAAAUUAAAAAAAAGCGUACUAUAAAAAUGUUAAUAUUUUAACCCCUCCCCCAAGAGUACGUUUUGUACACUUUGGAAAAUGGUAGCCAAUUAUGGAUGACCCCUAAGUGAUCUAAUUUGUUUAUUUUUCGGUGCAGAAUGAAUUUUGAUACCAGAAUAACUUACAAGAAGCUCCUCUAAAGCUUACACAUUAUUAUUAUGACCAUUUAUAAGGUCAUUUUGGUGCAAUAUAUUCUACGUAGAUGACUUACCUGUAGCUAAGUAAAGAGUAUUAGGCUUUGGGAAUUUGCAAAUUAUCAUUUGAUGCAGCUUAGGAAAGUAGCAUAAUUGUAGUGGUGCUUGUAUGCUGAUUAUUUAUCAAAAAUAUAAUUACAAAAAAUAAAAAUAUAUAUACCAAUACACAUAUUUAACAGUGCCUAGUGAUUUUCAGCGGGGGAAUUGUCAGUGAACCAUUACUAUAUUACCCAAAUUAUAUACAUUUUAAUUACAUUUAAAACAUAAAAAUGUUUGCUAGAGCUUGGGUAAACAGAAUGAAGUUCAAAUUUAUUGCAAAUACUGUAAUAUAUUCAGAUUGGUUUUGCUGGUAUUUUUGUGCAUUUAACCUUAUUGACAUCAUAAUUUAUUUAUGGGAUUUUCAAACUUGAUGUUAUUAUGAAAGAUUCGCAAUGAUUUAUGUUUUCAUUAUUUUUAUACGACCGCAAAUUUUGAAAAAAUUUUCGUCGUAUAUUGCUAUCACGUUGUCGUCGUCGUCAGAAUACUUUUAGUUUUCGCACUCUAACUUUAGUAAAAGUGAAUAGAAAUCUAUGAAAUUUUAACACAAGGUUUAUGACCAUAAAAGGAAGGCUGGUAUUGAUUUUGGGAGUUUUGGUCCCAAUAUUUUAGGAAUUAGGGGCCAAAAAGGGCCCAAAUAAGCAUUUUCUUGGUUUUCGCACUAUAACUUUAGUUUAAGUUAAUAGAAAUCUAUGAAAUUUUGACACAAGGUUUAUAACUACAAAAGAAAGGUUGGGAUUGAUUUUGGGAGUUUUGGUUUCAACAGUUUAGGAAUAAGGGGCCAAAAAAGAGCCCAAAUAUGCAUUAUUCUUGGUUUUCGCACAAUAACUUUAGUUUAAGUAAAUAGAAAUCAAUGAAAUUUAAACACAAUGUUUAUGACCACAAAAGGAAGGUUGGUAUUGAUUUUGGGAGUUUUGGUCCGAACAGUUAAGGGAAAAGGGGCCCAAAGGGUCCAAAAUUAAACUUUGUUUGAUUUCAUCAAAAUUGAAUAAUUGGGGUUCUUUAAUAUGCCGAAUCUAACUGUGUAUGUAGAUUCUUAAUUUUUGGUCCCGUUUUCAAAUUGGUCUACAUUAAGGUCCAAAGGGUCCAAAAUUAAACUUAGUUUGAUUUUAACAAAAAUUAAAACCUUAAGGUUCUUUGAUAUGCUGAAUAUAAAAAUGUAUUUAGAUUUUUGAUUAUUGGCCCAGUUUUCAAGUUGGCCCAAAUCGAGGUCCAAAAUUAAACAUUGUUUGAUUUCAUCAAAAAUUGAAUAAUUGGGGUUCUUUGAUAUGCCAAAUCUAACUGUGUAUGUAGAUUCUUAAUUUUUGGUCCAGUUUUAAAAUUGGUCUAAAUUAAAGUGCAAAGGGUCCAAAAUUAAACUAAGUUUGAUUUUAACAAAAAUCAAAUUCUUGGGCCUCUUUGAUAUGCUGAAUCUAAACAUGUACUUAGAUUAUUCAUUAUGGGCCCAGUUUUCAAGUUGGUCCAAAUCAGGAUCUAAAAUUAUUAUAUUAAGUAUUGUGCAAUAGCAAGUCUUUUCAAUUGCACAGUAUUGUGCAAUGGCAAGAAAUAUCUAAUUUCACAAUAUUGUGAAAUAGCAAAUUUUUUUUUAAUUAAGAGUUAUCUUUCUUUGUCCAGUAAAGUAAGCAAGAAAUAUCUGCAAGAAUUUUUUUUAAUUGGAGUUAUCUUUCUUUGUCCAGAAUCAACUUAAAUCUUUGUUUUAUACAAUAUACAAUGUAUAUUCACUUUUUACUACCAACUGAUAAAUUGAAAUAAUCUUUACCAUUCAGUGAUAACAAGCAGUUUUUUUACAUCUUAAUAUUUUAAGAUGUAUUUAAAUGAGUAGUAAUUGUUGCAAACUCCAUUAGAAUAUUUUAAUUGAAAUUAGUUUUGGAAUAAGGGAAAGGGGGAUGUGAUUAAAAAAUUGGGUUCAAUUUUUCUCAUUUGAAAUUUCAUAAAUAAAAAGAAAAUUUCUUCAAACAUUUUUUUGAGAGGAUUAAUAUUCAAAAGCAUAGUGAAUUGCUCUAAGAGAAAACAAAAAUUUUAAGUUCAUUUGAAUACAUUCAUUCUGUGUCAGAAACCUAUGCUGUGUCAACUAUUUAAUCUCAAUCCAAAUUUAGAGCGGAAUCCAGCUUGAAUGUUGUGUCCAUACUUGCCCCAACUGUUCAGGGUUCAACCUCUGCGGUCGUAUAAAGCUACGCCCUGCGGAGCAUCUGGUUCUAUUUGCAAAAGAUUGCAUAAAAAAGAUUUACAUUUUUUUGUUCUUUUGCCUUUAUACUUAAUUAUGCAAAUUAUAACAAAUUUCAAAAUAAAAUAAAUCAAUAGAAGAUUUGUAAUACUCAGUGUGCCAUGAAUAAAUAUUUGUUUAAGCUUG